rnacentral:rRNA from 1 species
UACGUAGGGUGCAAGCGUUGUCCGGAAUUAUUGGGCGUAAAGAGCUCGUAGGCGGUUUGUCGCGUCUGCUGUGAAAUCCCAGGGCUUAACUCUGGGCCUGCAGUGGGUACGGGCAAGCUAGAGUGCGGUAGGGGAGAGCGGAAUUCCUGGUGUAGCGGUGAAAUGCGCAGAUAUCAGGAGGAACACCGGUGGCGAAGGCGGAUCGCUGGGCCGUAACUGACGCUGAGGAGCGAAAGCAUGGGUAGCGAACAGG